CCUACGGGAGGCAGCAGUGGGGGAUAUUGCACAAUGGGGGGAACCCUGAUGCAGCGACGCCGCGUGGGUGAAGAAGCGCCUCGGCGCGUAAAGCCCUGUCAGCAGGGAAGAAAAUGACGGUACCUGAAGAAGAAGCCCCGGCUAACUACGUGCCAGCAGCCGCGGUGAUGCGUAGGGGGCCAGCGUUAUCCGGAUUUACUGGGUGUAAAGGGGGCGCAGACGGGGAUGCAAGCCAGGAGUGAAAGCCCGGGGGCCAACCCCGGGACUGCUCUUGGCACUGCGUGGCUGGAGUGCAGGAGGGGCAGGCGGAAGUCCUGGUGUAGCGGUGAAAUGCGUAGAUAUCAGGAGGAACACCGGUGGCGAAGGCGGCCUGCUGGACUGCAACUGACGUUGAGGCCCGAAAGCGUGGGGAGCAAACAGGAUUAGAUACCCUUGUAGUC
rnacentral:rRNA from 1 species